rnacentral:misc_RNA from 1 species
GAUGAAGAACGUAGCGAAAUGCGAUAAGUAGUGUGAAUUGCAGAAUUCAGUGAAUCAUCGAAUCUUUGAACGCACAUUGCGCCCCUUGGUAUCCCGAGGGGCAUGCCUGUUCGAGCGUCAUUUCACCACUCAAGCCUGGCUUGGUGUUGGGCGACGUCCCCUUUGGGGACGCGCCUCGAAACGCUCGGCGGCGUGGCACCGGCUUUAAGCGUAGCAGAAUCUUUCGCUUUGGAAGUCGGGGCCCCGUAUGCCGGAAGACCUACUCGCAAGGUUGACCUCGGAUCAGGCAGGGAUACCCGCUGAACUUAAGCAUAUCAAUAAGCGGAGGA